GUUUUCGGCGAUAGAACGUUGAAAGUCCACUUCCCCAUGGAUCAGUCAAGUUAAGUGACGUUGCGCGUGGUUAGUAUACGGAGGGGUGACCAUGUGGUCAAUCGUGUGCUGUCUUUU
rfam:Asian citrus Psyllid, Diaphorina citri - Florida Strain, whole genome shotgun sequence.